GUCGGGCACCGUGGCGCAUGCCUGUAAUCCCAGCAGCUCCGGAGCCUGAGACAGGAGGAUCACAAGUUCAAAGUCAGCCUCAGCAAUGGUAAGGCUCUAAGCAACUCAGUGAGACCCUGUCUCUA
rnacentral:sRNA from 1 species